CUGCCUACGGGGGGCAGCAGUGAGGAAUAUUGGUCAAUGGGCGCGAGCCUGAACCAGCCAAGUCGCGUGAGGGAUGAAGGAUCUAUGGUUCGUAAACCUCUUUUAUAAGGGAAUAAAGUGCGGGACGCGUCCCGCUUCGCAUGUACCUUAUGAAUAAGGAUCGGCUAACUCCGUGCCAGCAGCCGCGGUAAUACGGAGGAUCCGAGCGUUAUCCGGAUUUAUUGCGUUUAAAGGGUGCGUAGGCGGCCUUUUAAGUCAGCGGUGAAAGUCUGUGGCUCAACCAUAGAAUUGCCGUUGAAACUGGG
rnacentral:rRNA from 1 species